CAACUACUCCCUCCGUUCGGAAUUACUUGUCGCAGAAAUGGAUGUAUCUAGACGUAUUUUAGUUUCUAGAUACAUUCAUUUUCGCGACAAGUAAUUCCGAAUGGAGGGAGUAUUUA
rfam:Triticum aestivum genome assembly, contig: Triticum_aestivum_CS42_TGACv1_scaffold_322301_4BL